GACGAACGCUGGCGGCGUGCUUAACACAUGCAAGUCGAACGGAAAGGCCCUGCUUUUGUGGGGUGCUCGAGUGGCGAACGGGUGAGUAACACGUGAGUAACCUGCCCUUGACUUUGGGAUAACUUCAGGAAACUGGGGCUAAUACCGGAUAGGAGCUCCUGCUGCAUGGUGGGGGUUGGAAAGUUUCGGCGGUUGGGGAUGGACUCGCGGCUUAUCAGCUUGUUGGCGGGGUAGUGGCUUACCAAGGCUUUGACGGGUAGCCGGCCUGAGAGGGUGACCGGCCACAUUGGGACUGAGAUACGGCCCAGACUCCUACGGGAGGCAGCAGUGGGGAAUAUUGCACAAUGGGCGGAAGCCUGAUGCAGCAACGCCGCGUGCGGGAUGACGGCCUUCGGGUUGUAAACCGCCUUCGCCUGUGACGAAGCGUGAGUGACGGUAAUGGGUAAAGAAGCACCGGCUAACUACGUG
rnacentral:rRNA from 1 species